rnacentral:misc_RNA from 1 species
GAUGAAGAACGCAGCGAAAUGCGAUACGUAAUGUGAAUUGCAGAAUUCAGUGAAUCAUCGAGUCUUUGAACGCACAUUGCGCCCCCUGGUAUUCCGGGGGGCAUGCCUGUCCGAGCGUCAUUGCUGCCCUCAAGCCCGGCUUGUGUGUUGGGUCUCGUCCCCCUUCCCGGGGGGACGGGCCCGAAAGGCAGCGGCGGCACCGCGUCCGGUCCUCGAGCGUAUGGGGCUUUGUCACCCGCUCUGUAGGCCCGGCCGGCGCUUGCCGAUCAACCAAAACUUUUUUCCAGGUUGACCUCGGAUCAGGUAGGGAUACCCGCUGAACUUAAGCAUGUCAAUAAGCGGAGGA